AAUAAUAUCAAAUAUUCCACUUUAUCCCCAUAUCUAGCAAAAUCUGAUACAUUGUUUCUAAAUCUUGCCAAUCUAUCUUACAAGCAACCCCACGCCUAUGCAUAGCCUCUGCCAUUUCCUUUAUCUUAUAAACUAAGAUUUCCAUUCAUCCCUCACAAUUCACUCUCGCAAAGAAGGAUUUCAGAUUCAAGAUUUGAGACUCAGCCAACCUUCACACACUUCAUCCUAUCGACAUUUCUUAAGGUUCGAGUAACCAAGGGCAUUAGAGCAUCAAGCAAAGCAAGCACUGAAUCUCCACUUCGAGGUUGAUCGGUUGAUGUAGACGGGGCUGAGCUGAGGCUAGGUACCACGAUGUCUUUUGCUUCCGCUAAUGACUAGCUUAUCAUCUCGUCUUUUAAAUUUCCUAAACUGAGAAUUUCUAUUAUGUGGUACAAUAUUAUCUCGUUGGGCUUGGACUCUUAACCCAUAUUUCUAUUAAUGAAGCUAUCAUUGAUUA